GACGAACGCUGGCGGCGUGCCUAAUACAUGCAAGUCGAGCGGACUGAAUGGGAGCUUGCUCUUGUUCGGUCAGCGGCGGACGGGUGAGUAACACGUGGGCAACCUGCCCGCAAGACCGGGAUAACUCCGGGAAACCGGAGCUAAUACCGGAUAACACCGAAGACCGCAUGGUCUUUGGUUGAAAGGCGGCGCAAGCUGCCACUUGCGGAUGGGCCCGCGGCGCAUUAGCUAGUUGGUGAGGUAACGGCUCACCAAGGCGACGAUGCGUAGCCGGCCUGAGAGGGUGACCGGCCACACUGGGACUGAGAAACGGCCCAGACUCCUACGGGAGGCAGCAGUAGGGAAUCUUCCGCAAUGGGCGAAAGCCUGACGGAGCGACGCCGCGUGAGCGAAGAAGGCCUUCGGGUCGUAAAGCUCUGUUGUGAGGGACGAAGGAGCGCCGUUUGAAGAAGGCGGCGCGGUGACGGUACCUCACGAGGAAGCCCCGGCUAACUACGUG
rnacentral:rRNA from 1 species